rnacentral:rRNA from 1 species
CAGUAGAAAACUCGGGAUCCCGUCCGCUCUCCCCUAGAUAAGCUACUGACUGCCAGACUAGUACUCAGGUGGGUGACCACUGGGGAAUCCCUGGUGUUGUAUGUUUUGCUGUUCUCUACACAUCCCACAACUUUU